GGGGAUUUAGCUCAGUUGUAGAGCGCUUGCCUAGGAAGCGCAAGGCCCUGGGUUCAAUCCCCAGCUCCG
rnacentral:tRNA from 1 species